AGUGAACGCUGGCGGUAGGCCUAACACAUGCCAGUCGAACGGCAGCACAGUAAGAGCUUGCUCUUACGGGUGGCGAGUGGCGGACGGGUGAGGAAUACAUCGGAAUCUACUUUUUCGUGGGGGAUAACGUAGGGAAACUUACGCUAAUACCGCAUACGACCUACGGGUGAAAGCAGGGGAUCUUCGGACCUUGCGCGAUUGAAUGAGCCGAUGUCGGAUUAGCUAGUUGGCGGGUUAAAGGCCCACCAAGGCGACGAUCCGUAGCUGGUCUGAGAGGAUGAUCAGCCACACUGGAACUGAGACACGGUCCAGACUCCUACGGGAGGCAGCAGUGGGGAAUAUUGGACAAUGGGCGCAAGCCUGAUCCAGCCAUACCGCGUGGGUGAAGAAGGCCUUCGGGUUGUAAAGCCCUUUUGUUGGGAAAGAAAAGCAGCAGGUUAAUACCCCGCUGUUCUGACGGUACCCAAAGAAUAAGCACCGGCUAACUUCGUG
rnacentral:rRNA from 1 species